rnacentral:sRNA from 1 species
AGCACAACUGAAUAGGCUCCUCAAGGGUGAUCGGCUCAUCCCCUGUUGAAAGGGGGUGUUGCCAUGUCUGCACAUGAAGUCAUUUCGCUCAUGCUCCAAUUCGGGCUGUUUUUAAUCGCGGCUGUUACUUUGGUCCUGACGAUCAUGAAACAUAUGUUGGACAACCAAAAUAAAAAGAAAUAGAUCGCCCUAUGAGUUUGGCCACUCAGGCGAUCUAUUUCGCAUGAAAACCAUAUGAGCCGACACCCUUGAUGGGUAUCCGUUGUGCAACGACCGUGGGUGUUCCAGCACCUGCG